rnacentral:rRNA from 1 species
AUGUACCCCUACUUCCACUACCAUCACGAGAACAACUACUUCCUCUACGAACUCGAACCGCUCGAGAAUGCUUCCUUGGAAGGUAUAACCACCGAGACGACGCCCGUGAACGAAUGUUGUGUGACGUUUGAGAUGCUCGUUGUUGCAUCGUGUCCUAGUUGUUCUUUGCGAGUUCCUCGUUGCCUUGCCGUCGACGUGUGGGAACCCGGUAUUCGGGAGCACCCCAUCUUCUUGCAUGACACGCUCCCGUCGCUUUUCCUUUUGCAUCGGUAUCUCAAUCGAGUUACCGAGAACCGGAAUGUUGCCGUGGCAUCACUUUAG